rnacentral:rRNA from 1 species
CCUACGGGUGGCUGCAGUGAGGAAUAUUGGUCAAUGGGCGCGAGCCUGAACCAGCCAAGUCGCGUGAGGGAAGACGGUCCUAUGGAUUGUAAACCUCUUUUGUCGGGGAGCAAAAGACGCCACGCGUGGCGUUCCGAGAGUACCCGAAGAAAAAGCAUCGGCUAACUCCGUGCCAGCAGCCGCGGUAAUACGUAGGGGGCAAGCGUUGUUCGGAAUGACUGGGCGUAAAGGGUGUGUAGGUGGUUUGAUAAGUUAGAUGUGUAAUACCCAGGGCUUAACUCGGGUGCUGCAUCUAAAACUGUUAGACUUGAGUACUGGAGAGGAUAGUGGAAUUCCUAGUGUAGCGGUGGAAUGCGUAGAUAUUAGGAGGAACAUCAGUGGCGAAGGCGACUAUCUGGACAGCAACUGACACUGAGGCACGAAAGCGUGGGGAGCAAACAGGAUUAGAUACCCUUGUAGUC